AUGUGGUGCAUCUUCUGCUGCUCUAUGUACAUCCCCGCUUUAAAACAGAUUAUCUUGCCAAGAAUGGUGCUUGGUUCUGAAGGCAAGGUACGCCACGAUGUCAUCAUCUCCGACAUGGUUUUCUCUGGCAAUGCAUCAUUGACAUGGCAUGCUAUUGAAUAUGGCUUGGAAUUUUUAAAUAAGGGUCUGGACUCUGGAGUGACAAUUGGAUACCAGAAGACUUUGCUGGCGCUGGUGCCGGUGGCUUCUGAUGGGAGUUUGCCGGCGCAACCUGCUGCAGCAGUACUUCGUACCUGCAAAUGUGGAGGCGAAAAUGAAAAUUCGGCCUUCCGCUCGACACACGAUGAAAACUUCCUCGCCUGUCACCUGAUAAAAAUUCUGGUGUUCUCUUCAGUCCGAGGUGCCUACAAGUUAGCACUGAAUUUCAACUUCUUUGAUCAGGGAGUCGGGGGUCCUAGUUCGAGUCCAGAUAGGUCUGCUCCAAGCUGGGAUUUAAUGUUGAAGCCUCCAGUUGCUCAAAAGAUUUCUACCUUUGCUUGGAAGCUUCAGCACCAGGCCGGAAUGGCCGCUGCAGCUAUCCCAGGUACAAUGGGUGACGAUGGUUAUAAAUUUCUAAUGCAAAAGCCAGCGCCUCCUGUACGACGGUACAUGAAUCCCGUUGAUUUCUCUGAAUCCCGUCAAGGUUCUAUUUGCUUUUUUUGCACUGAAAUCUGGAGGGGUUGA
rnacentral:rRNA from 1 species